AAUUGCUCUCGCUUCGUCAGGGUUCCAGAUAACCAGAACCGCAAAUGCAGGCGGGGGUGUCCCAGAGUCGGCUCCGCCUGCACCCCAGGGCGCUGGGGCCGGGCAUGGGGCGGGGGGUGGUAUAAGAGGACGGCCCAGCAGAGGGCUGGAGAUUUUGGAACCCAGCUGUGUGCCAGCCCAAGUCGGAACUUGGAUCACAUCAGAUCCUCUCGAGCUCCAGCAGGAGAGGCCCUUCCUCGCCUGGCAGCCCCUGAGCGGCUCAGCAGGGCACCAUGGCAAGAUCUCUUCUCCUGCCCCUGCAGAUCCUACUGCUAUCCUUAGCCCUGGAAACUGCAGGAGAAGAAGGUGAAAGCUGGACUGGGAAGUCUGACCUCACCUCAGGGCCCCCACUGACCCUCUCCAAGGAGUCCCUGAGUCAGAACCCUUCCCUCCUCAAACAACUUCCAUCCUGGGAGGACCAGACUGUCGGCUGAAGCCCCCGCUCUUCCUGCUUCUGCUGACUCGGGGGGUCUCUGUCCCCUCCAGGCCCUGCCUCCUGUGCUCAGUGUCUCUCUGUGGUUCCCCAGAUGAGAUGCGC
rnacentral:sRNA from 1 species